rnacentral:lncRNA from 1 species
AGCAGGUUGUUGUUCUUAACAUAUUAUCGAUAUUCAUUUUCUAAUUCUGAAUUAAUUAAAAUUGUUUUGAAAAUUUGAUCUAUUAGCGUGUAUUUUAAUACUUUAUUGACUAUCUGAAGACCUGAAAGAAGGAACAAGAAGUUUGUGCCUAGUACCUGACAUGAAGCUACUAUCUGAAGUGACAUUGCCUGAGUUGCCUUGGGCUUAUCAAGCGCCUUUACUAUUACUGUAAUGCUGUUAGAUAUGCCUAUUGAAAAGCCAGCCACCCUGCAUCUACCUAAAUUUGUGGAAAAAGACUAUAUAAUCAGUUGAAAGAAAGUCACCCUUACUGGUGGCCAGUCUCAUA